CAUCUCAGCAGUUAGAGAAAACAUAGGGAGGUGUCCUGGCCAGGCCUCCCUGCAGGCUGCCCAGUGCACCUGCCACCCCCAAACCCUCCCAGUUCAAGGUAGGCUCAGGGGACCAUCCCCUCCUCUGCAGGCGCAGGAUGAGAUGACCUAGGAAACCUCCACAAGGCAAAUCACAUCCAUUUGAUCUUGAAUAAAAGGCUGCUCCGGUGUCUGAAGCGACAACUCCCUGGUGGGUGAUGUCAUGCUGUUUUGUUUGUCUCCAUGGACCAUACAGAUCCGAUUUCAGUUUUGAAGAAAAUGGUCUGGGGAAAAAGGUUAGUUCAUUUGGAAAAUUCCGAGAAGACAAAAAUACAGUUUGCAGCUGAUGAAAGUGCGGUCACAGGCAGACAAUGGCUUUGAGGUGGAAGACGAGCUCCCGAGGGGCUGGGUCCUUCACCACCCACCCUCCCCCUGCCACCCACAGCCCUCCUUCUCUGGUGCUUCUGGCAGGAUCCCCAGCAACCCCCUCUCUGCCCAGGAGACCCCACAAGCCAGUGGCAGGUUGGCUGGGGAUGUGUUUUCCCUGGUCCCCCUCCUAAAUUUCCUCCUGCCCAGUCCACCCCGGAGCAUCUGGCACAGUGCUGCCCACAUUGCUCCUAAUGGCUGCCCUCCAUUUCUGAGGUGCUGUUAAAGCAAAUUAAAAAUAAUAUCUCAUUGUUUUCAUUUCUUAUUCACGUUCUAGCCUUUCAAUCUCUUGUGAAUCCUUUUUGCUUUUUUUUUUUUUUUUUUUUUUUUUUUUGUCUUUUUAGGGCCGCACCUGCAGCAUAGGGAGGUUCCCAGGCCAGGGGUCAAAUCAGAGCUGUAGCUGCCACAGCCAUAGCCACAGCAAUGCAGGAUCCCAGCUGCAUCAGCAACCUACACCAUAGCUCACAGCAAUGCUGGAUCCUUAAUCCACUGAGCAAGACCAGGGAUCGAACCUGCAUCCUCAUGGAUACUAGUCAGGUUCAGGUCCGUCGAACCACGAUGGAAACGUCCCCUUUUUGCUUUUGAAAUUCUUUUCUUUCUUUUCACUACAUACAGCCAGUACAGUGAGAUAGAGGGAGAAAACAGGGCUAAACUUCUAUUGUGCUUUUCCAGAGUGUAAUUCCCAGUCCAGCACCCCGGUGCUGAGCCCCUGCCAGGCAAGACCAGGGCAGAGAUUGCUCACAUCCAGGGGCAAGUUUUCAAGAAAUGUCACCUCCCCCUGCCCUCCCUCCCUCCCUCUAGUUUCAAUUUUAUAAAAACAGUAUGUCAAGAUUACAGACUUUUGGAAGGCAAGAGAAAGUCUCCCCAACCCAGCCCCUCUUUCCAUCCUUCUGUUUGCCUGGUGCCAGGUCCCUAAGUCACUGAGCCCCUCAUUCUGUCUUCCCUGUCCCCCAACCCCUAGUUUGGGGCACCCUUUUCCCGGAGCCUGGCUCAUGGCAUUCCCAGGCUCUGGGAGCUGGUCUUCCUUGACCCUUGCUCACAGCUUCUUAUUUCCAUCCUAGACUCAGUUUUUCAGCACCACGGAGCUCCCUGUGUUCAUCCUGAUUACAUGAAGCCCUUCCCUUUGGGCUAAGUUCUUGGCAGUGCAUGCCUCGUGGCUUGGGUGACCACAUGACUCCACCCCGAGGGCCCACUGCUGCCAUCCUGCUGUUCUGAGCUGGGCCUUGACACGGCUCUGGGCACAGCAGGUGCCCCCAGGCUGUAGGGUCAGAGUGGGGGCUCUUGGACCGUGAGAAGCCCACCUUCCUUCAUGUCCCAGUCCCUCCUCCACCCAGCUCCUGGCCACGUGGAACUUCAGUGAACAUCUGAGGAACCAAGGGGAGGGCUUUCAGCCCUUCAGGCAAAGCAUCAGGCAGAUGAUUGAAGAAUGAAAACAAAGCCAAAGCUUCUUUAAAAGUCCCCAUUAACCCAAUUAGUCAAAUCCUGAAGGGGCCUUUGUCUUAAUGGAAUUCUCCCAUAUCUCACUACGACUUGAAAUAAAAGAUCCAUCAGUUUGCAUGGAGGAAAUGUGGAUUUUCACCCUCCUGGGAUUUGGCUUCUAGAACUGAGUAGUUUUCCUCCCAGCUCAGUGCUGUCCCAUGGAAAUGCGAUGCAAGCCACGGAAAGAACUCUACUUAUUUAUUUUUAAAUUUUUAAUAAAAUAUAUUUGAUUUACAAUGUUGUAUUUGUUUCAGGUAUACAGUGAUUCAGGUAUAUGUGUGUAUAUAUACACAUAUAGAUAUAAUAUAGCUUUUCUUACAUUCUCUUCCAUUAUAGGUUAUUACAACGUAUUGAAUACAGUUUCCUGUGCUAUAUAUCUAUAGUAAGCCCUUAGUUAUGUAUUUUAUAGUAGUGUGUUUGUUUUAAUCCCCAACUCCUAAUUUAUUCCUCUCCUUCCCCCUACUUUAACCAUAAGUUUGUUUUCUAUGUCUGUGGGUCUACUUCUGUUCUAUAAAUAAGUUCAUUUGUAUCUUUUUAUGAGUGAUGGCAUGUGUUUGUCUUUCUCCAUCUGACCUACUUCACUUAGUAUGGUAUUCUCUAGGUCCAAUACAUUAUAUCAUCACUGAAGGAAUUUUGAAAAAUAAUAAGAAUCACAUUUUUAAAAAAUUGUAAGAAACAGGUACAUUUAAUUUUUAUAGUAUAUUUUAUCUAACCCACCAUAUCCCCGAGAGGAAGAUGGAAUCAGUGUUUAAGAAAUACUAGUGAGCUAUGUUCCAUUCAUUUUUUGUACUAAGUCUGAAUUUUUUCACAUCUCAGUCUGGACUGGCCACAGUUCAGGUGCUCAGGAGCCACCUGGGGCUCGUGACUAAUGUUAGACAGUGACAAAGGUCACCUAUCAUGGAAUUUGACCCUAGGAAGUGAGCACUGGCUCUGAGAAAACAGCUGCAGCCCAGCAAACCAGAGCCCCUAGUCUAUCUAAGAUCUUAGGGCACAACCAAACACAGGACGAGUCCAAAGACUCCCCAGUUUUCUCAUUCCUGCCAUGGGGUGGGAUUCCUCCAGAGCCAUCUUUGUAGUCUCAGACUGGUCAGGUCCCGGCUGGGAGGCUGGGGGUGGGACAUUUGCUCGCUCUGGAGAAACUUCAUUAAUUCAAUCAACAAGUAUUCCUGCACAGCUUCUAUGCGCCAGGCACCGUUCAAGGACUUGGGAUACAGCAGCGAACAGAACAGAUUCCUGCCCUUGAAUAGACAGCCCACAAAAAGUAAGGAAAAGAAGUAAGCAGAUCCAAGAGUGUAUUAGAGAAUUGUUAAGCUCUAUGGAACAAACAAACAAAAAAGAGCAAGGUAAGGAAGUAAGUGCUGGGAUGGGGCACGUUUUUUUUUGUCUUAUCUAGGGCCGCACCCGUGGUAUAUAGAGGUUCCCAGGCUAGGAGUCGAAUCAGAGCUGGAGCCACUGGCCUAAGCCACAGCCACAGCAACAUAGGAUCCGAGCCGUGUCUGUGACCUAUAACACAGCUCAUGGUAACGCCAGAUCCUUAACCCACUGAGCAAGACCAGGGAUUGAACCAGCAACCUCAUGGUUCCUAGUCAGAUUCGUUAACCACUGAGCCAUGAAGGAAACUCCUGUAUUGGAAGAUUUGAAGGAGGUGAGAAAGUUGGCCUGUAGAGCAUCCAGACAGAACAUCCAGAGCAAAGACCCUCAGGUGGGCAGGAAUAUACCUGACAUGUUCAAGAAACAGCAAAAAGGCCAGUGUGUCUGGAGAGAACCGGGCAAGAGGAAAAUUAUUCGGAGAUGAAAUCACAGGGAGAAGGCGAGAUAGGGGGAGGCUAGACCACUCAGGGCCUUGCAGUCAUUGCAAGGACAAUGGCUUUUAUUUUGAGAAAAUCAUUAUAGAAUUUUGAAUAGGAUUGUUCUGACUUGAAUGUUAAUGGGGUCACUCUGGUUGCUAUGUUGAGAAUAGAGUGGAGGAGGGCAAGAGCGGAAAGAGGAGAGCCAGUCAGGAGUCUCUUUCAACCAUUCAGGUAAAAGAUGAUGGUGCUUGGACCAGGGUAGUAGCAAUGAGGAUGAUGAAGAAUAGACAGACUAUGUUUUCAAGGUAGAGCCAGUGGGAGAAAGAAGAGUCAAGGAUGAUUCCUGGGGUUUUGAUUUGAGCAAGUGGUAAGAUGACAGGGCCAUCUACAGAGAUAGGAAAGUCUGCACGUAGCCAGGUUGAUAGGGGAGGACCAGGAGUUUUGAACAUGUUGAGUUGGACAUGUCCAUUCAACAUCCAAAUAGAAAGGUUAAAGAGGCAGUUGGAUUGAUGAGUCUAGAAUUCGGGAAAGAGGUGAGAGCUUGAGUUAGGAAGGAGAUCCCAGCAUAAGGGUGGAAUUUUGACUCAGUGAAGUCAUCUGAAGAGUGAGUACAGAGAAGAGGACCUGAGACACUCCAGCAUUAAGAGUUUGGGAAGAUUGGAGUUCCCAUCGUGGCACAACAGAAAUGAAUCCGACUAAGAACCAUGAGGUUGCUGGCUCAAUCCCUGGCCUCACUCAGUGGGUUAAGGAUCGGGUGUUGCCGUGAGCUGUGGUGUAGGUUGCAGAUGCGGCUUGGAUCUGAUGUGGCUGUGGCUGUCGUGUAGGCUGGCAGCAGGAACUCUGAUUUGACCCCUAGCCUGGGACCCUCCAUAUGCCACUGGUGCAGCCCU
rnacentral:lncRNA from 1 species